rnacentral:tRNA from 1 species
UAGAGUGUAGCUCAUUGGUAGAGCACUUGUCUAGCAUGUCUGAGGCCCUGAGUUCCAUUCCCAGCACUGCAA